rnacentral:rRNA from 1 species
GUCGAGCGGUAAGCACAGAGAGCUUGCUCUCGGGUGACGAGCGGCGGACGGGUGAGUAAUGUCUGGGAAACUGCCUGAUGGAGGGGGAUAACUACUGGAAACGGUAGCUAAUACCGCAUAACGUCGCAAGACCAAAGUGGGGGACCUUCGGGCCUCAUGCCAUCAGAUGUGCCCAGAUGGGAUUAGCUGGUAGGUGGGGUAACGGCUCACCUAGGCGACGAUCCCUAGCUGGUCUGAGAGGAUGACCAGCCACACUGGAACUGAGACACGGUCCAGACUCCUACGGGAGGCAGCAGUGGGGAAUAUUGCACAAUGGGCGCAAGCCUGAUGCAGCCAUGCCGCGUGUGUGAAGAAGGCCUUCGGGUUGUAAAGCACUUUCAGCGGGGAGGAAGGCGGUGAGGUUAAUAACCUCAUCGAUUGACGUUACCCGCAGAAGAAGCACCGGCUAACUCCGUGCCAGCAGCCGCGGUAAUACGGAGGGUGCAAGCGUUAAUCGGAAUUACUGGGCGUAAAGCGCACGCAGGCGGUCUGUCAAGUCGGAUGUGAAUCCC